CCUACGGGAGGCAGCAGUGGGGAAUCUUGCGCAAUGGGCGAAAGCCUGACGCAGCAACGCCGCGUGCGGGAAGAAGGCCCUAGGGUUGUAAACCGCUUUCAGUAGGAACGAAAAUGACGGUACCUGCAGAAGAAGGUGCGGCCGAACUACGUGCCAGCAGCCGCGGUGACACGUAGGCACCAAGCGUUGUCCGGAUUUAUUGGGCGUAAAGAGCUCGUAGGCGGUUGAGUAAGUCGGGUGUGAAAACUCUGGGCUUAACCCAGAGCCGCCACUCGAUACUGCUGUGACUUGAGUUCGGUAGGGGAGCAGGGAAUUCCUAGUGUAGCGGUGAAAUGCGCAGAUAUUAGGAGGAACACCGGUGGCGAAGGCGCUGCUCUGGGCCGAUACUGACGCUGAGGAGCGAAAGCGUGGGUAGCAAACAGGAUUAGAUACCCUGGUAGUCCACGCCGUAAACGUUGGGCACUAGGUGUGGGUUCCAACCAACGGAAUCCGCGCCGUCGCUAACGCAUUAAGUGCCCCGCCUGGGGAGUACGGCGGCAACGCUAAAACUCAAAGGAAUUGACGG
rnacentral:rRNA from 1 species